rnacentral:rRNA from 1 species
GACGAACGCUGGCGGCGCGCCUAACACAUGCAAGUCGAACGAGCGAGAGAGAGCUUGCUUUCUCGAGCGAGUGGCGAACGGGUGAGUAACGCGUGAGGAACCUGCCUCAAAGAGGGGGACAACAGUUGGAAACGACUGCUAAUACCGCAUAAGCCCACGGUGCCGCAUGGCACAGAGGGAAAAGGAGCAAUCCGCUUUGAGAUGGCCUCGCGUCCGAUUAGCUGGUUGGUGAGGUAAUGGCCCACCAAGGCGACGAUCGGUAGCCGGACUGAGAGGUUGAACGGCCACAUUGGGACUGAGACACGGCCCAGACUCCUACGGGAGGCAGCAGUGGGGAAUAUUGCACAAUGGGGGAAACCCUGAUGCAGCGACGCCGCGUGAGUGAAGAAGUAAUUCGUUAUGUAAAGCUCUAUCAGCAGGGAAGAUAGUGACGGUACCUGACUAAGAAGCUCCGGCUAAAAUACGUG